UACGUAGGGUGCAAGCGUUAAUCGGAAUUACUGGGCGUAAAGCGUGCGCAGGCGGGUCUAUAAGACAGAUGUGAAAUCCCCGGGCUCAACCUGGGAACUGCAUUUGUGACUGUAGAGCUGGAGUACGGCAGAGGGGGGUAGAAUUCCACGUGUAGCAGUGAAAUGCGUAGAGAUGUGGAGGAAUACCGAUGGCGAAGGCAGCCCCCUGGGCCAAUACUGACGCUCAUGCACGAAAGCGUGGGGAGCAAACAGG
rnacentral:rRNA from 1 species